AGUAGAGUGGCUGAGUUGUUAAGGUGAUAGAUUGUAAAUCUAUUAAGGGGUUUUACCCCUCUACUA
rnacentral:tRNA from 1 species